rnacentral:rRNA from 1 species
UACGUAGGGGGCAAGCGUUGUCCGGAUUUACUGGGCGUAAAGAGCGUGUAGGCGGCUAGGUAGGUCCGUUGUGAAAACUCGAGGCUCAACCUCGAGCUGUCGAUGGAAACCAUCUAGCUAGAGUCCGGAAGAGGAGAGUGGAAUUCCUGGUGUAGCGGUGAAAUGCGCAGAUAUCAGGAAGAACACCCGUGGCGAAGGCGGCUCUCUGGUACGUGACUGACGCUGAGACGCGAAAGCGUGGGGAGCGAACAGG